rnacentral:rRNA from 1 species
GACGAACCGUGCGAACGUUGUUCGGAAUCAUUGGGCGUAAAGGGCAUGUAGGCGGUUUGUUAAGUCAUGUGUGAAAUCCCUCGGCUCAACCGGGGAACGACGCAUGAAACUGGCAAGCUAGAGUACCAAAGAGGGGGGUGGAAUUCCCUGUGUAGCGGUGAAAUGCGUAGAUAUCGGGAGGAACACCUGUGGCGAAGGCGGCCCCCUGGUUGGAUACUGACGCUGAUACGCGAAAGCGUGGGGAGCAAACAGG